AUACGGAGGAUCCGAGCGUUAUCCGGAUUUAUUGGGUUUAAAGGGUGCGCAGGCGGCCAUUUAAGUCAGCGGUUAAAUCGUGGGGCUCAACCCCAUUCUGCCGUUGAUACUGGGUGGCUUGAUUGCGGUCGAGGUUGGCGGAAUUCGUUGUGUAGCGGUGAAAUGCAUAGAUAUGACGAAGAACACCGAUUGCGUAGGCAGCUGACCAGACCGCAAAUGACGCUCAUGCACGAAAGUGCGGGGAUCGAACAGGAUUAGAUACCCUGGUAGUCCGCACAGUAAACGAUGAAUACUUGUUUUCGGCGAUAUAAUGUCGGAGGCAAAGCGAAAGCGAUAAGUAUUCCAUCUGGGGAGUACGCCGGCAACGGUGAAACUCAAAUGAAUUGGCGGGG
rnacentral:rRNA from 1 species